AACGAACGCUGGCGGCAUGCUUAACACAUGCAAGUCGAACGAGACCUUCGGGUCUAGUGGCGCACGGGUGCGUAACGCGUGGGAAUCUGCCCUUUGCUACGGAAUAACUCAGAGAAAUUUGUGCUAAUACCGUAUAAUGUCGAAAGACCAAAGAUUUAUCGGCAAAGGAUGAGCCCGCGUAGGAUUAGCUAGUUGGUGAGGUAAAGGCUCACCAAGGCGACGAUCCUUAGCUGGUCUGAGAGGAUGAUCAGCCACACUGGGACUGGGACACGGCCCAGACUCCUACGGGAGGCAGCAGUGGGGAAUAUUGGACAAUGGGCGAAAGCCUGAUCCAGCAAUGCCGCGUGAGUGAUGAAGGCCUUAGGGUUGUAAAGCUCUUUUACCAGGGAUGAUAAUGACAGUACCUGGAGAAUAAGCUCCGGCUAACUCCGUGCCAGCCGCCGCUGUAACAC
rnacentral:rRNA from 1 species